UACGUAGGGCGCGAGCGUUGUCCGGAAUUAUUGGGCGUAAAGAGCUCGUAGGCGGCUCGUUGCGUCAACCGUGAAAACCCGGGGCUUAACUUCGGGCUUGCGGUUGAUACGGGCGGGCUGGAGUUCGGUAGGGGAGACUGGAAUUCCUGGUGUAGCGGUGAAAUGCGCAGAUAUCAGGAGGAACACCGGUGGCGAAGGCGGGUCUCUGGGCAGUAACUGACGCUGAGGAACGAAAGCGUGGGUAGCGAACAGG
rnacentral:rRNA from 1 species